UACGUAGGCAGCAAGCGUUGUUCGGAAUUACUGGGCGUAAAGAGUGUGUAGGCGGUGCUCCAAGUCUGGUGUGAAAUCUCCCGGCUUAACUGGGAGGGUGCAUUAGAAACUGGAAUGCUAGAGGAUGGGAGAGGUAAGCGGGAUUCCUGGUGUAGCGGUGAAAUGCGUAGAUAUCAGGAGGAACACCUGUGGUGUAGACAGCUUACUGGACCAUUUCUGACGCUGAGACACGAAAGCGUGGGUAGCAAACAGG
rnacentral:rRNA from 1 species